rnacentral:ncRNA from 1 species
AUAGGUUCUGCAUAACGCAGAUGAAAAGGGAAUCGUGUUGAAAUCACGAGCUGACGCGCAACUGUGAGUAAUAUUCCUGUUUUACCAAAGCAAUCCACUGUGAAGCUCUCCAGCUAAACGGGAAGGAAGGUAAAACAAUUACAAGCCAGGAGACCUGCCAUUUCUUGA